CUCCACACAGCCUGCGGCAGACACCAGGAUAGGAGGUGGGCGGGCCGAGGCUGAGCUCCGCGGGCGGGAAUCUCUGGGCUGCGCUCGGUAGUAACCAGCUGGAGGGGAGCCAGGUGCGCUUCCCUCCUUCCUGUCUGCCUGAUGUCGCGCCCCCAGGGCUGGUGCGCCCUAAGGCGGCCGCCUGGGCCGCCUUAUGGUAGCGCCGGCCCUGUGUAUACUGUUU